rnacentral:lncRNA from 13 species
UCCAGGGACAAAUUAAAUGAUCUGCAGUUAGCCAUGGGAUGAAAUCACACUUGGCUUGCUAUGAGGAAGAAUUGAAAUGACAAUAAGGGAAGAAAACAUUAACAGAUUACUAGUAUCAUGUCAUUGUGAUCAGAAUGAUUUGGUACCUACUCUCACUUGGGAAUGAUCCUUGAUCUCAGCUGUCCAAGUAAUUCUGGGGAGCAGUGCCUGCUUUCUCUUCCAGUCUCUAAGGAAAAGUGGUCUGCAUGUGGGAAUGGUGACAUCUACACAGAGGCUGUGAUGUGAUUGGUGGAGUUUUCUAACAUAUUGACUGCAAAUAUCCAGGUACUUACAGUCUUUCUUAAACAUCUGUAUACCUUCAUUGAAAUGGUCAAUGUAAUCUGAACUGUACGAUGUGAAUUUUAGCUGAAUUACUUUACAGGAAUGCUUUCUAUGGCAUUGUAACGGGUUUGACUUUAACUAGUACUUAGGAGCUGUGAGACCUUUUCCUUCUGCUCUUCUUCUGCUGCUGAGAAAUUCUCUCUGUCCAUAAAGAUGCAUGCACAUGCCUACCUGUGGCCAAACUACGUGUGUAGGACAAUCACUGGAUUUAGCAUUUCAGCUGUAGAAGUCACACCAGACAAGAUCGGAAAACUGACAUGCUCUGAAUAAAUGCUAAUCACAGACAUUUAUGAAAGUAUACAUACAGUACAUUUAAUUUGUUACUUUUUAUUUCCCAUGGCAUCGAUGGUCACAACAUAUGCUGGUCCCAUAAAGUAUGAAUGAUAAAUAGUUAUUUCCUCAAGAGCCUAACUAAAGCCACCAUGUUUGACAGAGAAAACUUAUUUUGUCCUUAAGCAAACCCCCGAUAUGGUCUGGAGUUUCCAUGUUGUUCUUGCUAUUGUAGUUCUCCCAGAGAAGCAGAGGAGGAAAACAGAGCUUCGUUCCUGAGGGAGGAAAACAUGAGCUCUUGGAUGGCAGGAAAGAGUUCCUAGAGAGAGAAGACAAAGAGCCUUUGUGCUGCAAAAGAAACCCCAGGCUGAAGACUGGAGAUCUGAAUGUGCAACCUGCAAGGGAACUGGAGACAAUGAAACUCCUGUCAGGUAAGUUGGAUGCUAGAAGCUUGUGUGGAGGGGAUGAAGGUUCCGUGUUUAUGAUUUGCCCAUAACAGCAAACAAGUAAAACCAAACCGCAGGGUAGGACCUG